rnacentral:rRNA from 1 species
UGGGGAAUAUUGGACAAUGGGCGAAAGCCUGAUGCAGCAACGCCGCGUGAGGGACGACGGCCUUCGGGUUGUAAACCUCUUUUAGCAAGGAAGAAGCGAAAGUGACGGUACUUGCAGAAAAAGCGCCGGCUAACUACGUGCCAGCAGCCGCGGUAAUACGUAGGGCGCAAGCGUUAUCCGGAAUUAUUGGGCGUAAAGAGCUCGUAGGCGGUUUGUCGCGUCUGCUGUGAAAACCCGAGGCUCAACCUCGGGCCUGCAGUGGGUACGGGCAGACUAGAGUGCGGUAGGGGAGAUUGGAACUCCUGGUGUAGCGGUGGAAUGCGCAGAUAUCAGGAAGAACACCGAUGGCGAAGGCAGAUCUCUGGGCCGUAACUGACGCUGAGGAGCGAAAGGGUGGGGAGCAAACAGGCUUAGAUACCCUGGUAGUCCACCCCGUAAACGUUGGGAACUAGUUGUGGGGUCCAUUCCACGGAUUCCGUGACGCAGCUAACGCAUUAAGUUCCCCGCCUGGGGAGUACGGCCGCAAGGCUAAAACU